AAAAUUUACUAAGAGAAAAGGAAGGAUAUGAUGGCACAAAAAAGAUACACGUAGUUUUCCCCUUUUGUUUAGAAAGGGCUAAAAGGAAGUCGAGUGGAAAAUGUUAAGAUGCAAAGAAGAUUUAACAAUACAUUUAUCUCCUUCUACACUAAUAGUAAGAAACUUUCGCCGGUACACAAAGGAUA